AUUGAACGCUGGCGGCAGGCCUAACACAUGCAAGUCGAACGAGUGGCGGACGUGUGAGUAAUAGCUGGGAAAGUGACUGAUGGAGGGGGAUAAGUACUGGAAACGGUAGCUAAUACCGCAUACCCUCGAAUGUGCCCAGAUGGGAUUAGAUAGUAGGUGGGGUAAAGGCUAACCUAGGCGACGAUCUCUCGCUGGUCUGAGAGGAUGACCAGCCACACUGGAACUGAGACACGGUCCAGACUCCUACGGGAGGCAGCAGUGGGGAAUAUUGCACAAUGGGCGGAAGCCUGAUGCAGCCAUGCCGCGUGUAUGAAGAAGGCCUUCGGGUUGUAAAGUACUUUCAGCGGGGAGGCGUUACCCGCAGAAGAAGCACCGGCUAACUCCGUGCCAGCAGCCGCGGUAAUAC
rnacentral:rRNA from 1 species